ensembl:lncRNA
CUUCCCUUCAGACUACUUUUCAAGCUCAAAAUAUCAAAUGCAUCAAGAGAUAUUUGUGAAUUCUUAUUCUCAUAUACCAACACGUUUCAAUGAGGGAAAUUGAAACACCAAUGUAUUAAAGAGGGAAUGAGGAAGCGUAUCUGCAUGGGAGGACAGAAAAAAUAUGAUACUUUGUCAGAAUGAAGUAAAUUCAGAUUCAGUCAGAGAAAAACAACUGCUUCCUCUUCAGCAGCACACAGGACACUGCUGCUAACAAGAGCGUAGGCCUGAAUGCCAGGAACAUGGACUCGCGACAUUCAUUUGCAAAAAGGCAAACAUGGAGGUUUUCGCAUCCAGAAAAUGCUGCAGCUUCUACCAGCACCUUGGUAACAUCUAACAGCAAGGAGCGCAAUGUGUAAUGCCUACUCAAGAUAAGAAGCCACAACCCUGAAAAGGAAUUCUCUGAAUACGAAUCCCACUGUUCUCCUGGCAGCCCUGCCCUGGCUUUGCAGCAACAAGAGCACCAAGCAGCUCAGCCAUGACACCAACUACACUUUGCCAAAGUGGUAGAAAAAGAGUUAGAGAAGCAAGCAGGAGCAGGCUGUGGACAGCCCACGUCUGCUGCAGCACAAGUGUAAGAAAAGAAUAUGAUUUGGACUACUGUAAGCCUUUCACCAUCUCCCUCAAGGAAACUGCUGAAGAUAAAAUUACAAAUGCAUCCCAGAGAAAAAAUUGAGAAGCAACUGGGUAAGGGGAAAUGCAGAGUACAACUUGGACAGGAAUGCAAGAAAAGGAAAAAAAAAAUAAAGCAAAACCACAUUAAAGCAUAACAUGGAGAAAAGAAUAACCUGCUUGCAAACAAAAGUCUACACAGCGUUUGCUGAUGCCAGCUCAAUUUAUGUAUAAUCAAUAUCCCUCUGUUUAAUUCCUCUGUGUUGAAUUCUGUAUACAGCAUUCACUUUUCUUUAGCUAGAAAACUAUUUGAAUAAUAAAACUUCAUCAUCUUUAAAGGGAAAAACAUUUAGAUUAACAUAUUAAACAUUAAAGAUCCAUGCUGAAAAUGUAAAAUGAAUGCGAGAGCUUCUCCCACUCAGCUGGUGUACAGGAGGUGAGAAGAGCAUCUUGCAUGCUAUGAAAGCAAACCAUAAUCUCCAUAAAUCUCAGGAGCUGGGAAUUUGGGUGAAGAGGCAAAGGUCAACAGAACUACUUGUAAGGCAGUCCCUAGCUUAAAAAUUUUGAGAAAAAGAAAAUCUGCUUUGGCCUGCUCACAAAGUAGGAAACGUGGUUAAUUUAAAGAGAUCCUUCUAAACAAAAUGCAACAGAACAGAGAUUUCUUCUCUUCAUCUAGUUUGACAGUGUACUGACGUAAUACAUGCUCUGGUUGAAAGAGGCUGGAGAACUUGGAGUAAAUGCAUAUGAUUCUCUCUAUACUCUUUCUCAUAGAGAAUGAACUUUAAAAAAACAAGUUUUAUGAGCAUGAAACCUCUUGCUCUCAUUCCUGAACAUCAGCAAAGGUUUGCCCCAUUGCAAGUCCAGACAGGGAUGCAAAAAUAGGGAAACAAUAUUUCAGGCUAUCCAUAACCUUACUUACACUGCUAACAGUUUCCAUCUCAGAUUUAUACACUAAUAAAAAGACAGAUUUAAAGAACAAUUAAAUUAAGCAUUGUAGAAGGAAACAAAACUGGCAGGAAAGAAGGAAACUCCAGUGCUGCAAACAACACUACGUAAAACAGCAUUUUGAAGCAUCCUGGAGCUAUUGUCUCAUUUCGUCAUGUGGCCAUGGAAAGCGAAGAGGGAAAAGGACUACACUAACAGUUAUCUGGGGAAGGCAACAUGCUGGAUUUAGUAUGGAGAUGGGGUUCUUGAGCCUCCAUGGUACUGAGUGAAAACAAAAUGACUUUCACAACCACGAGAAUUACCAGAGCAGUGGCUAGUGAGGAGAAAUGGCCCAGCAGCAGCAGGGAG